GAUGAACGCUGGCGGCGUGCUUAACACAUGCAAGUCGAACGGAAAGGCCCUGCUUUUGUGGGGUGCUCGAGUGGCGAACGGGUGAGUAAAACGUGAGUAACCUGCCCUUGACUUUGGGAUAUCUUCAGGGAAAACGGGCUAAUACCGGAUAGGAGCUCCUGCUGCAUGUUGGGGGAUGGAAAGAUUCGGCGGUUCGGGAUGGUCUCGCGGCUUAUGCGCUUGUUGGUGGAGUAGUUGCUUACCAAGGCUUUGACGGAUAGCCGACCUGAGAGGGUGACCGGCGUCAAGGGUACUGCGGGACGGCGCAGACGCGUACGGUAGGCAGCAGUGGGGAAUCUUGCGGAAUGAGCGGAAGCCUGAGGUAGCAGCGCCGCGUGCGGAAUGACCGCCUUCGGGUUGUAAACAGCUUUGUCCUGUGACGAAGCGUGAGUGACGGUAAUGAAUAAAAAAGCACCGGCUAACUACGUG
rnacentral:rRNA from 1 species